rnacentral:rRNA from 1 species
GCCAGACUCCUACGGGAGGCAGCAGUGAGGAAUAUUGGUCAAUGGGAGGAAUCCUGAACCAGCCAUGCCGCGUGCAGGACGACGGCUCUACGAGUUGUAAACUGCUUUUGUACCGGGGUAAAAUGCCUUACGAGUAGGGUUUUGAAAGUACGGUACGAAUAAGCAUCGGCUAACUCCGUGCCAGCAGCCGCGGUAAUACGGAGGAUGCGAGCGUUAUCCGGAUUUAUUGGGUUUAAAGGGUGCGUAGGCGGGCAUUUAAGCCGGCGGUCAAAUGUCGGGGCUCAACCCCGGCCUGCCGUCGGAACUGGGUGCCUUGAGUGGGCGAGAAGUAUGCGGAAUGCGUGGUGUAGCGGUGAAAUGCAUAGAUAUCACGCAGAACCCCGAUUGCGAAGGCAGCAUACCGGCGCCCUACUGACGCUGAGGCACGAAAGUGCGGGUAUCGAACAGGAUUAGAUACCCUAGUAUA